CAGAAAAUAUACCGCCUUACGAGAUUAUCUCGCAAGGUAAGGGUGAAAAGGUGGGGCCAGAAAUAGUGGCUUAAUGUAAGAGCCCACCGCUCUCUAAGUGAUUAGAGGGGCAUGGUAGACCCCACUGGGAGAAAGGCUAAAUAGAGAGGAAUAGAGUGAUCCGCUUUCAACCUCCGGGUAAGCCGCUUGAUUCCGAUGGUAACAUCGGAACUAGAUUAAUGGUCAUCAAAAACAGAACUCGGCUUAUGGCCUGCUUCAAUUC
rnacentral:RNase_P_RNA from 1 species